GACGAACGCUGGCGGCGUGCUUAACACAUGCAAGUCGAACGGAAAGGCCCUGCUUUUGUGGGGUGCUCGAGUGGCGAACGGGUGAGUAACACGUGAGUAACCUGCCCUUGACUUUGGGAUAACUUCAGGAAACUGGGGCUAAUACCGGAUAGGAGCUCCUGCUGCAUGGUGGGGGUUGGAAAGUUUCGGCGGUUGGGGAUGGACUCGCGGCUUAUCAGCUUGUUGGUGGGGUAGUGGCUUACCAAGGCUUUGACGGGUAGCCGGCCUGAGAGGGUGACCGGCCACAUUGGGACUGCGAUACGGCCCAGACUCCUACGGGAGGCAGCAGUGGGGAAUAUUGCACAGUGGGCGGAAGCCUGAUGCAGCAGCGCCGCGUGCGGGAUGACGGCCUUCGGGUUGUAAACCGCUUUCGACUGUGACGAAGCGUGAGUGACGGUAAUGGGUAAAGAAGCACCGGCUAACUACGUG
rnacentral:rRNA from 1 species